AAACUGGAUGAAACGAAGCCGGGAAACUUGCUAAAAAGCUCCCGGAGAAAGUCUGAAGAAAGUAGCAGCGUCACCAGAGUGUCACGUGAGGUUUCCCGGAAACGUUCAUUUUAACAACAGACGUCGCUGCUGGAUUGAAUCAAAGUCGCUGUUUUCAGCUGCACCGACAAGCUGUUUUAAACGCCCGCUUCUACAUGUCGAAGCGGCGUCGGUGCUGCGUAUCAUUAUGAGAUGUCGUCUCCCAGCGCCCCCUUCGUGCAAGUCAGGUUUGAUGACAUCCUUUUUUACGAGAACUGUGGCGGCGGCAGCUUUGGAAGUGUGUACCGAGCCAGGUGGAUCUCCCGGGACAAAGAAGUGGCAGUGAAAAAACUGCUCAAGAUUGAAAAUGAGGCUGAAAUCCUCAACGUCCUCAGCCACCGUCACAUCAUCCAGUUUUACGGGCCAUUGUUGAGGCACCCAACUAUGGGA